GAUGAACGCUGGCGGCGUGCUUAACACAUGCGAGUCGAACGGAAAGGCUCCUGCUUGCAGGGGUACUCGAGUGGCGAACGGGUGAGUAACACGUGGGUGAUCUGCCCUGCACUUCGGGAUAAGCCUGGGAAACUGGGUCUAAUACCGGAUAGGACGAUGGUUUGGAUGCCAUUGUGGAAAGUUUUUCGGUGUGGGAUGAGCUCGCGGCCUAUCAGCUUGUUGGUGGGGUAAUGGCCUACCAAGGCGUCGACGGGUAGCCGGCCUGAGAGGGUGUACGGCCACAUUGGGACUGAGAUACGGCCCAGACUCCUACGGGAGGCAGCAGUGGGGAAUAUUGCACAAUGGGCGCAAGCCUGAUGCAGCGACGCCGCGUGGGGGAUGACGGCCUUCGGGUGGUAAACUCCUUUCGCUAGGGACGAAGCGCAAGUGACGGUACCUGGAGAAGAAGCACCGGCUAACUACGU
rnacentral:rRNA from 1 species